CUGCAGGACAAGUUCGAGCAUCUUAAAAUGAUUCAACAGGAGGAGAUAAGGAAGCUCGAGGAAGAGAAAAAACAACUGGAAGGAGAAAUCAUAGAUUUUUAUAAAAUGAAAGCUGCCUCUGAAGCACUGCAGACUCAGCUGAGCACCGAUACAAAGAAAGACAAACAUCCUGAUCCAUAUGAAUUCCUCUUAUUAAGAAAAAUAAAGCAUCCAGGAUUCAAUGAAGAACUGACUAUCACCUUGUUAAUCAUUCAGAAACAUGUUGCAGGCUUAAGCCAUUUUUGAUAUAGAUACUGAAACAAUUACUUGCUAAGAGCAAACUUGAAGGUAUGGAUAAGGCCCUGAGUCAUCUUCCUGAGCUGAAUGAUAGUUAAGCUGAAUGUACGUAUAAAAUAUGAUUUUCUAACCACUUGCUCGCCAACAAGGAAAACUUUUAAGUAGAGCAGAACCUGAAUAGACAAGACAUUUCUUUCUUUUGGUAGAAAAUGAUUUACCAUCACUGUGUAGUUAAUUGUAGACUAGGUAAUUUUAACUUUGUGAUUUAUUGCCGGAGACAUUUUCUUCUGUACUGUAAAGUGUGUGUCAAAAAAAAAAAUAGCGAUUUUGGAGGAUUAGGGGACUUUGAUAAAUUGCCUGCAAUUCUGGCAGUAUGAACUGCAUAUUAAUUUCUCUCUUUCAAGAACAUUUUUAUUUAUUAAUUCCUUACAAAAACUCCCUAAACUUUGGAACAGCUCUCAAUUGCCUGUAUUC
rnacentral:lncRNA from 1 species